CCCAGUUGACUAAAAAAAGUAAGAACAUUUAUAUCUACACAACAUGAUUAAUCAUUUCAAAUAUAGCUGCGGAGAGCUGAACUGAAAGUUAGAAACUGUCUGCUGUCCAUGCAUAUUUUCCUCCUUCACUUUAUCUUCUCUCUUUAUUUCAUUUCUCUGUGAACUCAUGUGAUGACUGGAGUUGACCAACAAUUAAAGCAGAAGACCUGCUCCACCUGCUGAUCUACUGGUUGUAACAGCUUGUGGGAAAGCAUCACUGGACCAAUCAGGCGAGAGAAGACAGAGAGGACUGAGGACUGAAACGAAAAUACUCUGCCUGCCAAAAAAGGUUUGAGGCAGACCGACCGCUGGGGAGAUGGACCUCACCUGACACCAUUACUCUGGAUGUAACAGGUAGCUCGACUCUGCUGUCAAAACAUCAAUGACUCGAGAAGCGGACAGCGAGAUUUCUGGUGCCUGGCUGGAGACGAGAUUCUGAUUAUUCAAGAGCCAAAACAAAAUGUCAGAAUAAAUAGUUAGAAGGCAGAUUUGUUUUCUAUUUGUUGUUGUUUUUAUUAUUAAUGCUCCACAACACAAAAUGUAUCACUGCUGUAACUCUUGAGUUUAAUAAAAUGUUCUUCUUUCAAUCUGUUAUUUCUGAAGUCUUUCUUUUUUUUACCAUAAUCAUUUGUGGAAACAUUAUAUAUUAAAGGAACGCCCACAUUUUUAAUAGAACUUCAUGACUGAUCAAAGCACAAACUGGAGAACAGGAUUAAAAGAAAUGUAUUUGUUUUAGUAAGUGUUAAUUAAUUUGUAGUUACAUCAAUACAAAAUUCACAUCUU